rnacentral:lncRNA from 7 species
AUUGCGUUCAAGGACAUGUCCACCCACUAGUACAAAGAAUCUCUAUCGUGGCGGUUGGAAACCUAUAUACAAUGGCGUUUUUUUUUAACCUCUAGUAUUAGUGGCUAGUAGAAAUAAUUUUUCACAUGCAGAGAAUUUAGAACCGUCAGUGGAAAUUGAUUUCUACUUGCGGUUCAGUUAAGACAACCACCAAUAUAAAUAAUUUCUAAAAAAUAUAAAAUGAGUUCUUAAAAUAGAAAAAAAUUAGAGGAGACCUCGUCUGGCCGUCUUAGUCGAAGUUCUCGCGCUACCUCACCCUUGCGUGUGCCUUCUCUACCAGACCAACCAUGACUUGGAUUGUGUCUAGAUAGUAGUUUUUCCCCCAUAUAUUAGAACAAACCGAGUACAAAUUGGUUGUUUGAGGCGGUCAACGAAUUCAAACAAAAACACUAGUCAACUAGAAAAUUUCAUGACUUUUAGGGUUCUACAAGUUUUAUUUUGGUAUUUUCUCAUCCGAGUUUGUUUGCAAAAUUUGUAUUUUAUAAUUUAUCAAAUGCAAAUGCAAUUUUGAUAGCCCAAAUGGUUUCAAAUGAAAAGGUUGAAAACUACUAAAAAUAUAACUUUAGAGAUCUACAACUUUUAGUUUGAUGAUUUUUUUCAAACGAGGUCAUUUGAAAACUAAAAAAUCGAUUUCAAAUUAUUUCUGCUUGCAAGUUUAAAAGAAAACCGCCAAAAGAAAAUGUGUAUUUUCCUGGCAGUUCCUUUAAGAAACCGCAAGUGAAAAUAU